GACGAACGCUGGCGGCGUGCCUAAUACAUACAAGUAGAACGCUGAAGGAGGAGCUUGCUUCUCUGGAUGAGUUGCGAACGGGUGAGUAACGCGUAGGUAACCUGCCUGGUAGCGGGGGAUAACUAUUGGAAACGAUAGCUAAUACCGCAUAAGAGUAGAUGUUGCAUGACAUUUGCUUAAAAGGUGCAAUUGCAUCACUACCAGAUGGACCUGCGUUGUAUUAGCUAGUUGGGGGGGUAACGGCUCACCAAGGCGACGAUACAUAGCCGACCUGAGAGGGUGAUCGGCCACACUGGGACUGGGACACGGCCCAGACUCCUACGGGAGGCAGCAGUAGGGAAUCUUCGGCAAUGGACGGAAGUCUGACCGAGCAACGCCGCGUGAGUGAAGAAGGUUUUCGGAUCGUAAAGCUCUGUUGUAAGAGAAGAACGAGUGUGAGAGUGGAAAGUUCACACGGUGACGGUAUCUUACCAGAAAGGGACGGCUAACUACGUG
rnacentral:rRNA from 1 species